GAAGGAGACAAUAAUUGUAUUUCAGGAAGCUGCUGUGGAAACAACAAGGAAUCAGUUGCUCUCUCCACUGAGAACUUGGAACAAAGACCAAAUGGUGUAUUGGGAGUAAUUGGAAUCUCCAAUUCUACUGUUAGAAGCGAUGAGUCUCCACUUUUGACUAAAGAUAUCGUCAUGAGGAUGAACCCUGUUAAUGAAAGGCCAAAGAAGUCACGUGGUCGCGUUUUCUCUGACAGAGUCUUGAAGUAUCGGCCUUCAUUUUAUGUAAUUGCUCUUAUUGCUGUUUGUUUUGGAGUAUGCGCCCUUGUUCUGCACCCUCAUAAGGUUAGCAAACUCGCAGUAUCUAUACGCAGGUGCUUGACAGACAGGUUUUAGAUGUCCAAUAAAUCCAGACUAAAAUGCCAUCUCUUGAUCACUGGCUCUGUACAUCCCCUUUUCACUGUUAGAUUAAAUUGACCCCCCUGAAGCUCAAGGAUGGGGUUCAAUUCCUGACUUUGAGUGUCCAAGCUGCUAUUUCUCCAUACUGCCUUGAUCUUGCCCUUGUAGGCGUAUCAAGAUAGAACCGCGGCCUUCCCGAGAGGUGGAGAUAUCUGCUGCUUUUUUUCCAGUUGGAUGAGAAUUCUUUGUAGGCAAUGUCUAAUGUUCUUGCAUCUUUUGUUUCCUUCUUGUACUGACAACAGCUUUCACUCCCAAGUUCACCCCAAGUUCGUGUAUUAUCUUUUUAGGCGAUGAUAAUGAUGGAAUAAAUGACUAGGGA